rnacentral:rRNA from 1 species
UACGGUGGGGGCAAGCGUUGUUCGGAAUUACUGGGCGUAAAGGGCUCGUAGGUGGCCAACUAAGUCAGACGUGAAAUCCCCAGGCUCAACUUGGGAACUGCGUCUGAUACUGGAUGGCUUGAAUUCGGGAGAGGGAUGCAGAAUUCCAGGUGUAGCGGUGAAAUGCGUAGAUAUCUGGAGGAAUACCGGUGGCGAAGGCGGCAUCCUGGACCGAUAUUGACACUGAGGAGCGAAAGCCAGGGGAGCAAACGGG